rnacentral:lncRNA from 1 species
CACCACAGACCAAGAUAGUUUACAAAGGCUUAAUGGAGCUCAGAUAUUUGAGAAAAAAAAAAAAAAGAUUAACCAUAUUCAGCUGAGAAAAGGGAACACAAACACAUCUGGGGAAAGUAAUCUUAAAUAAAGAUACUCAGAUGGAGAAAAACAUGUGUCAAGCCUGGACCUGGAGUAAAAGCAGACAGAAAAAAUUUGAGUUGCAAGGGAUUACAACAGCUCAGAAAGGAAAACAUUCAUGAUCUCAUUCCACCUGAAGCCAGUGCCUCUGUAAUGUGUAGCAGAAUCCUAUGGAGAAGUUGUAAAAACACAAAAUGUUGGCCCCACCCCAAGAGUUUCUGAUUUUGCAGGUCUGGAGAGGGCCUGUGAUACGUACUUCUAACAAGCUCCCAGGCGAUGCUAAUGUUGCUGGUCUAGAAACACACUUUGAGAGCCACUGUUUUACAAUGUAUUCACCCAGCUUAUGCAAUCAACUACUAUCACAGCAAA